AACCGCCGUAUACGGACCCGUACGUACGGUGGUGUGAGAGGUCGGAGGCUAAACACCUCCUCCUACUCGAU
rfam:Bacillus krulwichiae strain AM31D, complete genome.